UACGGAGGGUGCAAGCGUUAAUCGGAAUUACUGGGCGUAAAGCGCGCGUAGGCGGCUUGUUAAGUCGGAUGUGAAAUCCCCGGGCUCAACCUGGGAACUGCAUUCGAUACUGGCUGGCUAGAGUGUGGUAGAGGGAAGUGGAAUUCCAGGUGUAGCGGUGAAAUGCGUAGAGAUGCGGAGGAACACCGACGGCGAAGGCAGCCCCUGGGAUAACACUGACGCUCAUGCACGAAAGCGUGGGGAGCAAACAGGAUUAGAAACCCGGGUAGU
rnacentral:rRNA from 1 species